UAUUAAAAUUUAAUCUAUUUCUACUAUUAAAAACCGAUUGGCUGAAGAAAUACCCAAACAAUGACACCUUGUGUGCCACGUGUACCUUAUAUGACAUAUAAAGACCAAUUUUUAAAAGUAAAAAUAGAUGAACUUUUUAAGA
rnacentral:pre_miRNA from 1 species